rnacentral:lncRNA from 1 species
AGACCUCGCUAGGAGUGCUGGUGAGGGACUGCAAUUUAAGUGAUUCUUACAGUUCUGUUUAAUUGCACAGUUCAGCAAGACACUUGCUGCUGACACCAUUCCUGUAUUUUGUUCAAGGAUGUUUCAAGAUAUUAUGAAGACAUUAACAGCUCUAGAAGCAGGAACAGAGGCCACAGGUAUCAGACCAUUCCAGGAAAGAAACAUUUGGAGAACUGAGCUCAGAAAUUGAACUCACUUGUCUUCCCUUCCACCGUAAAACCAGCUUUGCUUAAAACGAAUUGUACAGUAGGAUAAACACUUUAUCGGGAAAGAACUUGGAUGCAAAAAGACCAACAAAACCUGCAGCAAGUCUUCACAAAUGGAUGGCUGGGAGAAGGCAGGUGGGAGGCUGUGCCUCAUGAAAGCAACCAACCAUCCAAUUUCAUUUCAGUAAUGUUUGUAAUUUUCUUCCUACUGGGGUGGCUGGAAGUACAGCUGCCCUAUACUUGUGUCCAUGUGCUCUGCUUUUGGUGAAAAUG